rnacentral:rRNA from 1 species
CGGGGUGGAGUAAUGCUUGGGAAUCUAGCUUAUGGAGGGGGAUAACUACGGGAAACUGUAGCUAAUACCGCGUAGUAUCGGAAGAUGAAAGUGUGGGACCUUCGGGCCACAUGCCAUAGGAUGAGCCCAAGUGGGAUUAGGUAGUUGGUGAGGUAAAGGCUCACCAAGCCGACGAUCUCUAGCUGGUCUGAGAGGAUGACCAGCCACACUGGGACUGAGACACGGCCCAG